AAAAUAUCUAUAUGUCACAAUUUUUGUCUCUCCAUUAUACAUGUUUUAGGUACAUGUUGUUUUGUAUAAAGAUGCAUCAUGUAUUCUUUUAUUACUGUUCCAUAAAUAUAUAUCUACCAUACGGCGUCCGAUGAGUAAACAGCCGAAACUUCAUAAAAAUAAUGGCAGCCCCAGUCGAAGAGUACCUAAGAUUUUCCGUAGAUUGUCAUAUAAAUUAUUUCAUAUGGUUUAUUUAUAAUAUAAUCUCUACGUCGUAUUGUUGCUUUCAUACAACUUAUUUUGUUUCAUUAUUGAAAAUAAGUAUUUUCAACUGGCAGAAAAGUCCUGGACAGUUACGUCAAUUAAAAUUUUAAAAUUAAAUCGAAAUUCCUACAACUCAAAAAUUACGUAUGCCAAUUGACGGGUUGGAUAACCAGCAUUUGCAUACUCGUAAUUCAGAAAGAUAUGUCGUAUCAUGUACGACGUGUGCAAAAGUGCCCCUUUUAAGGCACAGAUUGAUGACGACAGCUUGCCUGAUAUGGGGUUGGCAUCUGUCGCCUACACCCUGGAAUUCCAUAUUGCUGCUUAAACCAUAAGCUAGUAAGAACAGCGCGUUGGGCACGUUCAAGCGUCAUUAUUCGAGUCCUAGCAGCUCCUCCCCACGCAGUGAUACAGUAAGAUGCUAUAGAUUGGCAAAGUGCAUAAUAUAUAGUGUACUAUGUUAAUAGAUACUUAAAAGUUAUAUUAGACUUAUUUUUAUUCCAUCAUAUAAAAUCUUUAUUUACAUAA